AGAAAAGUGAUCAGGACCACUCCCGAUGCAUGGCUUCCCCAUCUCUUCCUGGGUAGGCCCUCUUGGGGAAAUAUCCCCACCUCUGUACCCAUGAUUGAGUCUUUAGGCAUAGAUAUCUUACUAAAGGAAUUUUUUGCUACCCUCCAUUCUUAGGGUUGUGACUUUCAGAGGAGAAAAUUCUCAGAACAGAUUAAAGCAGGUUAAACUCCAAGUUGCCAAUUUUCAUUGCAUAAGAAAUGAUUUCAUCAAGAACAUUGUGAUGAUACUCUUUAAAUAUUUAAUUGAGUAUGUAUUUAUACUUUCUAUACCCUUAUGUUAAAUAUCCUGUUACAGGAAAUGUUAAGAGUGGGAGAAAGGAAAAGGAUCUACUUAGUCAUUUCCUUUAGGCUUAAACUAUUUUCCAUCUUGAAAACACAAAUAGUAACAAUAUUCCAUGGUGCCUAACUUCUUUAGAAAAUCAUAUAUAAAAAUAUACAUAUAUAUGUGUGUAUGUGUGUAUUAUAUAUAUAGAAAUGUUCUUGGGUACCAUUUAAAUUUCUGGUUAUUUUUUCUUUAUAGUACAUUUGAAUGUUCCAAGUACAACCAUCAUUUUAUUUAACAACCAUUUAUUAAGCAACUACUGAGUUGCAAGUGCCACUGUAGAUAUACAUAAACAAAUAAAAUACAGUCCUGUCUUUUCAUAAAGGCUUUUAAUCUAGUGAGAUGGGGGUUACUGGGUUGAGUAGUGUCUCUCCAAAAUUAAUAUCUAUCUGAACCUCACAAUGCAACCUUAUUUGGAAAUAGGGUCUUUGCAGAUUUAAUUAAUUAAAUUAAGAUGAGGUUAGACUGGAUUAGGGCGAGCCAGGAAUGCCAAGGAUGGUGAGCAACUAUGAAGAGCAGGAGAAGGAAGGAAGAACGCCCUUACAGAGCUUUCAGAGAGAGCACAGCUCUGUAUAACACCUUGAUUGCAGACUUCUGGCUCCAGAAUGCUUCUUCCUGCAGAGCAUCCCCUCAGUAAAUCAUGGCACCUGAAUCUCCAUCUUGGACUCUGCUUCUGAAAACUGAACAUGAAACAGUAUAAGUCCAGAUUCUAAGUUCAUAGAGCUAUGAAGAUAUUGUGUGCAGAGGAAGAACGUUUCCUGUUUGAGUGGACUUCAUUGCCCAUCCAUGCUGUGAUGGUAUUGGGAAGGAAAAUGGGCAUGCCUGAUUCAAGUGAAUGAUUGCAAUGUACCAUAGCACUUUUGUCUUUUGUUCCUUUUCUGCAUGUAUACUUGGUUGGGUUGCUUUUGUUCUGUAUUUGUUCUUAAUCUUUUAAUGUAUAAAAGUUGACUCUUAAGCUUAAAGAAAUCAUUUAUUUAGCCAACUCAGAGUUCUUUUAUUCUAAUUUAAAUUUUUUGUUUUAUGAAGUUGGUCUAGUGUAUUUGAUGGAUUUUAAGAGGACUCUAUUUCAUGGUUUCUAUUAUAACUUUAUAUUGGUUAUAGUCAGUUAAGAAUUUAAUCUGUCUCUUGCAUUUUAUUAGCAAACUGUGUGAAUUAUCCUCACAAUAUGCAGGCUUGCUUCUGUCUGGUCAGUUAUUUCUCUUAGGAAGUAAAACACCUCUUGAGAACUUGGUCAAUUGCUUUUUUAUUUUUAGUCUACAUUUUUUAGUAAUAACAUUAUAAAAACUUCAAUGGAAGAUAUAGUAUUUAUUACAUUCUCUUGAGCCUAAACUCUCUUGAGUGCAUUUAUUUAUUGGAUUUAUAUACUACUUUCUCAUGCAAUAGUUAGAUUUAUAUUUCAGUCAGUUUUCUAUUUUCACACAUUAUGUUAGAAAUACACAUUGCCUUAAUUAAAAUGACACCACAAGGUGGCUAUGCCUUUUUUGGAGGACAAUGUUCUUUCUUUAUUGCUUAGAAUAACCCAAGAAGUUACUGAUAAAUCAGAUAAAAACACACAUUUACUACAUUAUAUUAUUGGUUUAUCUGAC
ensembl:lncRNA